AAGCGUUGAAGUAUAAUAGCGUACCGGGAUGCCUUGUUAUGCAGAGCUUUCAGUAAGGGUUGUGCAGUAACCUCAAACCGGAGUAGGCUACAAAGCCGAAAGAAAAUGCUCAAA
rnacentral:sRNA from 12 species